rnacentral:rRNA from 1 species
GAUGAACGCUGGCGGCGUGCCUAAUACAUGCAAGUCGAGCGAACGGACGAGAAGCUUGCUUCUCUGAUGUUAGCGGCGGACGGGUGAGUAACACGUGGAUAACCUACCUAUAAGACUGGGAUAACUUCGGGAAACCGUAGCUAAUACCGGAUAAUAUUUUGAACCGCAUGGUUCAAAAGUGAAAGACGGUCUUGCUGUCACUUAUAGAUGGAUCCGCGCUGCAUUAGCUAGUUGGUAAGGUAACGGCUUACCAAGGCAACGAUGCAUAGCCGACCUGAGAGAGUGAUCGGCCACACUGGAAGAGAGAAACGGUCGAGACACCUACGCGGGGCAGCAGUAGGGAAUCUUACGCGAUGGAGGAAAGCGUAACGGAGCAACGCCGCGGGAGGGAUGAAGGUGUUAUGAUCGGAGAACGAUGUUAGUAGGAGAGAAGAAAUGUGUUAUUAACGGUGAAGAUAUUGACGGUACCCAAACAGGAAGCCACGGCUAACUACGUG